rnacentral:rRNA from 1 species
CUACGGGCUGCACCAGUGGGGAAUAUUGCGCAAUGGGGGAAACCCUGACGCAGCAACGCCGUGUGAGGGAUGAAGGCUUUCGGGUCGUAAACCUCUGUCAGGCAGGACGAAACAUCUAAACAUGAAUAAUGUUUAGAUCUGACGGUACUGCCAGAGGAAGUCCCGGCUAACUCCGUGCCAGCAGCCGCGGUAAUACGGAGGGGACAAACGUUGUUCGGAAUUAUUGGGCGUAAAGAGCGCGUAGGUGGUCAGAAAAGUCAGACGUGAAAUCCCUCUGCUCAACAGAGGAAGGGCGUUUGGAACUCUCUGGCUUGAGUGUGGGAGAGGAGAGUGGAAUUCCCAGUGUAGCGGUGAAAUGCGUAGAUAUUGGGAAGAACACCAGUGGCGUAGGCGGCUCUCUGGCCCAUUACUGACACUGAGGCGCGAAAGCUAGGGGAGCAAACGGGAUUAGAUACCCGCGUAGUC